UAGGGGCUUUGACAUGGCAUGUA
rnacentral:siRNA from 1 species